UACAGAGGGGGCAAGCGUUGUUCGGAAUUACUGGGCGUAAAGGGCGCGUAGGCGGCCCGCUAAGUCGAACGUGAAAUCCCCGAGCUCGACUCGGGAACUGCGUCCGAUACUGGCGGGCUUGAAUCCGGGAGAGGGAUGCGGAAUUCCAGGUGUAGCGGUGAAAUGCGUAGAGAUGGUGGAGGAAUACCGAUGGCGAAGGCAGCCUCCUGGGCCAACACUGACGCUCAUGCACGAAAGCGUGGGGAGCAAACAGG
rnacentral:rRNA from 1 species